AGCAACCCACACAAUGGCGCAGGCGCACUAGGCCACUCCCCUCCCCCGGGGAGUGGCGGGGAGAUUGGGAGCAAGAAGGCAGGGCGGAAGAGUGCGCGCGGGCUACUGGGAAAUGUAGGCUGGGCGGGACGAAGAAAGAAGAGGAAGAAGGGAUUAGAUCUCUCGGCCACCAUACUGCCUCAAUCUGCACCUUCUUUAUCCCUCGGGGACCGCCCCACUUCCGGCCAGGCGGAGAAAUGGCUGCUGGGAGAUGAAGUCCUCCCGGUGAUGAAAGACUCCGUCCCUCGGAUUCCACUCCAUUGGAUGCCACAGCCGGCGCAAGUCCGGCCAAGGGACAGGCAGCUGGGGACUCACAGUGAAAAAUAGGAUUCUUACAUCGGGACCCAGCCCACGUGUAUCAAAACCAGCUUCCUAAAACAUCAGAGGAUUCCGCUCCACAGCAACAGCACCCACUUUAUGCAGACAGGGGAAAGCCCAACAUCAACACAAUAAGCCGAAUUCAGCUUGGUGGUUUCCUCUUUAUUGAUGCGCCUCCUAUCUCCCCCCCAGUUUCAGUCCCUUCCAUCUACCCCCAAAAAAGAAGGUAGUGAAAGGAAGGGAUUGUUGGGGUCCGCAACCCCUUGGGCAGUUAGAAAGGGAACAGAAACCAGAACAAUCACUGGGUGCAACAGAGACUGACAAUCCAGAAGUCUAAAGCAGAGUGGGAAAGGCGGGUGGAGAACGGGGGAGAGAGGAGAGGCUCCCAUGACCCCUCCUGCUAAGGGUGGGAGGGAAGCCUCCGCCGGUAAGUGCAGGUCCUGGAGAAAGAAGGUGGUGCUGGAGCCUGGAGGAGGAGGGGAGGUCAAGGCAGGGGGGACCCCCCACCUCAGGGGCAGCAGCUUCACAGGCCGUAGACACUUUCGUCACUGUAGGCAAUGUACAGAAAGAAGUCCUCUUCGUGGUGCUCCUGGGGGUGUGAGCAGAAAAGCAGGCUUCAGCUACUCGGACCAUCCACUGCUCCCGUUCUUCAAGAACCAUUCUCCGGCAAGAGCCCCCAGGCCAGUCCCCCCCCCCCCCCACACACACACGCCAAGCCUUCCAGCCAAGAGAAUCAUCCCUGCAGCAGUCCUGGGCAGAAAAGAUCUCAACGAGUUCUCUGCUGCCUUGGAGCGGGGCAGAGCCCUGGCCAGGGCAGUUCCUCCCGCUUACUGUGCUCUUUCCUUCUAUUCUGUUCCCUCUGCUCUGUCCCAGAUCUCCACCCCAGGACUGUCACGAAGUGUGAAGGCUCGCUCGCCGGCUAAUCCAAGAACUGCUGACCCGACACAUCUUCCCCCUCAAGCUCUCCCGUUCAGAACUCCUCAGUCCAAAGCCCUACUCCUUCCGAGACACCAUACCUGGUAGAGCUGACCCAUGGUGGCACUGGUGGGUGGAAUGACGUUGUUGACAAAGAAAAACAAGGCAUCCUCAGCUCGGAGAUGAAUUCGCUUCCGGAUCAGGAAGUAGAACUGACCGACUACCAAACAUACGAGGAACAAGAGAGUCACAGGGUCAUAACUGCCCUCCUAUGAACAGCUGCUAAGUGGAGCCGCCUCCCAGAAGCUCAACUCCCACCCACAGGAAGCAGACCCAGGGGCCACCAGGUUCCCACCUGUGAGAUCAGAAGGCACCAGGUAUUUUUUUUUGUCCAGGUCUCCUAUCCGAGCUUUGGGAGCCUUUUCUACUAUCACCUGAUAUCGGGAAGGGGAAAAUGGGGACACAUGAGGAACACCGCCCGGCUGCUCCACCUGUCAGGAACUCAAGCAGCAACAUCAGCAGUCCCUAAACCUACCCCAGACUCCCUUCCUCUUGUCCCUGCAUACAUGGGGCAGCCCUGAGUCCAGAGAUCCUCGCCCCACUGGCCUGAGCUCACCCUAACAUUCGGGACGAGCCCCGAAUAGGGCGUCACAAUAAACAAUUUUCUUCCCCAGACGGGCAGGACUCGUCCGGACCCACAGACUUCGCCAGGUGGGGGGAUGGCCCCAGGAAGCUCGGGCUGUCAAGCCCCCUAAGGCCUCCACUCACGAAUGCCAAGGUUCUUCUCUCCUGCCCCACGUCUUCUUGCUUCCACUUCUCCCACUCCCCGGGUCCUUUCGCUCCCGCUCUCAGGGACAUCCAUUUCAGGCUCGCUCCCAACCCCGCCGUGGCCAGCAGCCUGAGCCCGCUGCUGCCCGUCCGGAACCCAAGCUCAGGCUGUGGCGUCAGCAUCAGCGCCCCGCGCCCCGCGCCCCCGCCACUCUCCUCACCGGGACCCGGUCCGGGUAUUUCUUUCUGAUCUUCUCGCCCUCAGAGCGGCGCUUCUCGAACGGAUGCUCCUCCUUGUACACGAACUUCAUCCUCCCGGGAACCGGGCUGGACCGGGCUGGGAAGAGGGAAGCCAGGGAGGGGGGGCCGGGACGGGGGGCGGCGGCGACGGAGGCGACGCGGGCAGACGCGGCGGAGCGAUCCACGGAUUUGCGCCACUUCCCUAUUCACCAACCCCGCCCCCGACCAUCAGGGGCCGCCCUAACUGCUAAGAUACGCCAGUAGCUCAGCGGCGUCAACGCAGCUGGCGUAGCGCCACCCACUGACCGCCGCUUACGCUAUCAGCGUAAUCGCUUUGGAAUUAAUUUGCGAGCUACGCAAGCGACGCAGCGAAGCUGGUGGGCUUUUACUCCCGCCGCAAAUAAUUGAAACCCAUUCCCCAACCUUCCCCUCUCGGGAGCUGGGGGCGAAGGGUAGUGGGGGGUGCCCAGGAUACAAGACUUGACUCGGCAGACGUUCUUUUCGGAAAUAGCGUAGAGGAAGAGCAAUUUCAAGGACAGCUAUUCACAGAACCUGCCGCUACGCUGAAGGCGGCCGUUGACACCAAAACAAAGUAGUACCUAAGCGGCGGCGAAUCUCCGGAAGUAAAAGUGGAGAAAAGAAACCGAUGUUUGGACGCAUGUAUAAAAUACUUGGGCUUCAGGAAUGAGUGGGCCAGUGGGGACUAGAGGAGGGCCGAAAAGCAAGGACUAGGCCAGGGCGGAGGAACACCUUCAGGGUGUGCAACUGCACAAUCAUGUGAUCUCAGAGAAGGGCGGAGCGUCACGUGGCGAGUGGAGAAGUAGGGCCGGCUCGGGAGGCGCGGCCGCCCGGGGCGCAAGGGGCGGGCUCGGGCGCCGCCUGCGUCAGCGAGGUGCGGGGGCAGCGCCCGCUGAGCUUAUCUGCUUCAGUCCCCGGGCGAACCCUGGUCUUUGUCCAGUUCUAUGCCCUUUAGGGCCCCGGGUUUCUCCUUUCCUCUCCUAUAGCCUACUGCUCGGGGGCGCUUCCGCUCGCCGGCGUCCUGCGCCGCCCAUCUUGUCACCCGGCUCACCGCGCCAUCCGGUGCUCAGCGCCCAGGUCUCUCCUGCCCUGGGAUACAGCCGUGUCUUACCCCUCUGUCCCCUCCCUUCAGUUCCCGGAACCCCAGAGAAGGAUCUAGGGCAGCUUUGGUUUCAAAGUUAUAAUGCAUGGUUUAAAAGAGAGGAAAGGAAAAAAAGAGAUAAAGUUGGUUACAGGUCUGAGGAAUCUAGGGAGAGAAAAAUAGAAGGAAAGUAAGGGAAGGGUAAAUUAGGGGAGAUCCAGUGACCCAAAUCCCCAGUCUCCCACCCACAGCCCAGCCCUUGAAGCGGGAGUGAAGAAUUAGAUCAGUUUUGUACAAGAGUUUUAAAAAAAAUCAAAUCACAGCAAAGCUGACUCGGCUUCUCUUUGAGCCUCCUGGGUCACGCACGGUAUGUCUGUCUCUCUGGCCAGUCCUGUCUCCACCAGACACGGCUCGGUUCUCCUAGGCCUCGGCCUGUCCCAGUCUGGGUUUCCAUGGAGUGUGACCGUGAACUGAGUGAGGCUGCUUGGAAGCCUGGCCCGUGUGUCCAUCCAGACUCCGAGGGCAGCGAGGGGUGGGAAGGGCACACCCUGCCCAGGCAGUCCUCACAUUGGACAGGGCAUCCGACAGCAUCCCGAGGGCUCGCCCUCCCGUUCCCCCCCACCCCAAUGCAGGUGGAGGGGGAGCAGCUGUCACCAGAGCCUAUGUUGAUGAAGGUUUCGGCUCAGCACGGAGCGGACGUCAGCGGUGAACCUAGGGUGACAAUCACGUGUGUUAGCAGAGUGCCUCCUUUACAGCUCCCGUCCUCACAGCGCCAGUGCACCAUGGCCUCACUGGAGAUGUGGGACAGAAUUUGCCAUCAACUUCUCAAGAGGAGGGUGAGAAGAUGCAGAUGAGGAAAAACGCAAGAUUCAAGAGAGACCGUAUUUGUCUCUUCAUAUCGGCGGGACAAGGAGGAAUCACUACUUAUGAACACACACCUCCCUCAUCCCAAAAUCAAAAUAAAACCUUCCUGACUUAUCCUCCAAAAUCGAAUGGGAUUUUAACCACCAGAUCGCAUACCAGUGUGAGGUUUCUGGUCAAACUUAUUGCUACUGUGCCUCACUUACAACAAAUGGGAGAAGUCAGAUUUAUGAGAUGACAUAUGGGAAGGGGGGUUCUUAUCUGAAAUAGAGGACAACUUGCAUUCAGACAGAUACACGUUUAGAUCUAGGAUCAACCAGGCAAUUUCAGCUCUCCAGGACCGAGGUCCGGAUCUCCAGCCUCCAAAUUCUCUGCAUUCACAAUACCUCCU